CCGAGCGGGGCCGGCUGCGCAGGCGGGGGCUGGGCGAGCGCGUCCCUGCCGGGCUCGGUUUCCAUCCGGGUUGCAGGGAGGAGCCUGGCUCGCCGGCCCGAGCAUGGUGCCGGCGGCUGGCGCGGGGGACGCCGAGGGCGCCGCUGCUCCCGCUGAGGGGAGCCCCGGGCUGGGGUCGCCCGUGGCGGGGGCGGGCCGUCACCCUGCAGCAGCCCAGGACAAGUUCUUCCUCAUCAAAGGUGGAAUUUUUCUAGGUACUGUUGCUACUGCAGGAAUGAUAGCUGGUUUUGGUACAACACUUGCUAUGGCUAAAAAGAAAAACCCCAACUGGUUCGAUAAGGGUAUUACUGCCACAGCUGCAUUACCAGAGAAUGGUUCAUUGCUGGCCUUACGAGCCUUGGGGUGGGGUUCACUGUAUGCCUGGUGUGGAGUUGGGCUGUUCAGUUUUGCCAUCUGGAAGGCUUUGGGAGUUCACAGUGAUUUUUCUACAGUACUUAAGCUGCCUGGUUAGAAUUUAUGUUGAGAGGCAUUGUCAUCUUCAUAUAUGUAUUGCUAGUACUGCUCCCAAGAAGUAAAAGAAUGACCCAUAAACUUCCCCCAUACAUCUUCCAAAAAAUAAAGCACAACAGGACAUUUGCUGAAGGAAUGAGAUGAAAGAAUUUCGUCAUAAAAUGCAAUCAAUAUUUCCAGCAAUUCCGAAAAGUGCAGAGCACUCAGUCGAAUGGGAAGACUUACUGAAAUCCAAAUGAAAGGAGCAGAAAGGAUUUGGAAUUUUAUACUUCAAUGGGAGAGACUGUAGAACUUGUGGAAAAAUCCCAUCUAAAAAAAUAAGAAAGAAAAACAGACUGAUUUGAAUGCAUGAAAGUGAGCAAAGUAGUGACUGUUUGCUGAACAUGGGGGCGGCAGUUAUUAUUUUAACAGCAAAAGAACUGUUACGUUUUUGCUGUUACUUUUUCAUCAUUGUCAUUAGAGUUGAAUUGUGGAGAAAAGAAUUUUAUGGGAUACCUUGGGCUGAACUUGAAAGAAGAAUAUAACUAUAUGAGAACGUGUUUCAGUAAAACAAAAAUCAAACAAGAAACUGAUCUUGAGUGGAUAUUUACAAUAAAAUAUAGUUGCAAACUCUUA